rnacentral:rRNA from 1 species
GACGAACGCUGGCGGCGUGCUUAACACAUGCGAGUCGAACGGAAAGGCCCUGCUUUUGUGGGGUGCUCGAGUGGCGAACGGGUGAGUAACACGUGAGUAACCUGCCCUUGACUUUGGGAUAACUUCAGGAAACUGGGGCUAAUACCGGAUAGGAGCUCCUGCUGCAUGGUGGGGGUUGGAAAGUUUCGGCGGUUGGGGAUGGACUCGCGGCUUAUCAGCUUGUUGGUGGGGUAGUGGCUUACCAAGGCUUUGACGGGUAGCCGGCCUGAGAGGGUGACCGGCCACAUUGGGACUGAGAUACGGCCCAGACUCCUACGGGAGGCAGCAGUGGGGAAUAUAGCACAAUGGGCGGAAGCCUGAUGCAGCAACGCCGCGUGCGGGAUGACGGCCUUCGGGUUGUAAACCGCUUUCGCCUGUGACGAAGCGUGAGUGACGGUAAUGGGUAAAGAAGCACCGGCUAACUACGUG